AUGAAGUGUCUUGCUCAGUUCCUGGGGCUGCUUGUGUUUUGGAUCCCUGGAGCCAGUGGGGAUAUUGUGAUGACCCAACCUGCACUCUCCAGUCCUGUCACUCUUGGAGAGUCAGCUUCCAUCUCCUGCAGGUCCAGUAAGAGUCUAGUAAGGUCUAGGAAGGUUCUCCACCUCAGCAAAAGUGACACUUACUUGAAUUGGUACCUGCAGAGACCAGGCCAGUCUCCUCAGCUCCUGAUCUAUCUGAUGUCCAACCUUGCCUCAGGAGUCCCAAACAGGUUCAGUGGCAGUGGGUCAGGAACGGAUUUCACACUGAAAAUCAGUAGAGUGGAGGCUGAGGAUAUUGGCGUUUAUUACUGUCAGCAGUGGCUAGAAAAUCCUCCCACAGUGAUACAUCCCUGA